rnacentral:tRNA from 1 species
GCCGGAUUAGCUUAGUAGUAAAAGCGUUCGACUUGUAAUCGAAUGAGACGGGUUAGAAUCCUGUAUUCGGCACCA